rnacentral:misc_RNA from 1 species
GAUGAAGAACGCAGCGAAAUGCGAUAAGUAAUGUGAAUUGCAGAGUUCAGUGAAUCAUCGAAUCUUUGAACGCACAUUGCGCCCCUUGGUAUCCCGAGGGGCAUGCCUGUUCGAGCGUCAUUUCACCACUCAAGCCUGGCUUGGUGUUGGGCGACGUCCCCUUUGGGGACGCGCCUCGAAACGCUCGGCGGCGUGGCACCGGCUUUAAGCGUAGCAGAAUCUUUCGCUUUGGAAGUCGGGGCCCCGUCUGCCGGAAGACCUACUCGCAAGGUUGACCUCGGAUCAGGCAGGGAUACCCGCUGAACUUAAGCAUAUCAAUAAGCGGAGGA